rnacentral:rRNA from 1 species
AUUGAACGCUGGCGGCAGGCCUAACACAUGCAAGUCGAGCGGAGCGGCGGACGGGUGAGUAAUGCCUAGGAAUCUGCCUGGUCGUGGGGGAUAACGUUCGGAAACGGGCGCUAAUACCGCAUACUCUCACAUGAGCCUAGGUCGGAUUAGCUAGGUGGGGGGGGAAAGGCCUACCAAGGCUACGAGCCGUAGCCGGUCGGAGAGGAUGAUCAGUCACAGUGGAACGGAGAUACGGUCCAGACUCAGACGGGAGGGAGCAGGGGGGAAUAUUGGAAAAUGGGCGGAAGACUGAUGCAGCCAUGCAGAGUGUGUGAAGAAGGUCUGUGGUUUGUAAAGCACUGUAAGUGGGGAGGCGUUACCGACAGAAUAAGCACCGGCUAACUCCGUGCCAGCAGCCGCGGUAAUUC